CGCGCUGGGCCUCGACCCGCUGCUCCGCGGACGGCUGCAAUGCGGCUCUGAGCUCCCGCGGCUGCACCGGCUCCGCGCGGGGAGUGCUGGGCGCACGCCCCAAUAGAAGAAAAAGAGCCAGAAGUUGUGUGAGACCAAGUUGGGUAAAGGAAGUAGCUGGCCAUCUAUUCAUGCAUUCAUGGAGGGAUGAAGAGUUUGGACGCUGGACCCAAAUGCCUGGGUUCAUAUGCCAGCUCUGUCAGUUUUUAAUGGGCAUCAUCCUCAGAUUCAAAGACCAGAUGUGCUUUCUUAUCAUCCAAGAUGAGCUGUUAUUAAUGGAAGAGAAGAAAAUCAGCAG